ensembl:lncRNA
CCUCGCCGCGCCUGAUUGGAACCCGCGCUGAGCGCGGCGCGCCGGCCCCGGGAAGGCCCCCCCGUUACCGUGGCGACGGGGCUGCCCCGCGCCGCGCCUGACCCCGGCCCCCGUCGCGGGUUUCUCCCGGUCGGGACAUGGAAUAUCGCGACAUGGCGACACGAGCCCCGGGGCGCCGCCGUGAAACCACAAAGAUCGCCCGGAGGCCUCAAAGUCGCGUUUAUUCAUCAACAAACGGGGCGGAAAUGGGGGAAAACGGGGCAGGGGCGCUGGGAUGGACUGGGAGCGCUGGGAUGGCUGAACUGGGAGCACUGGGAUGGCUGAACUGGGAGCACUGGGAUGGACUGGGAGCACUGGGAUGGCUGAACUGGGAGCACUGGGAUGGCUGA